UUAUCGGAGAGUUUGAUCCUGGCUCAGGACGAACGCUGGCGGCGUGCCUAAUACAUGCAAGUCGAGCGGACAGAUGGGAGCUUGCUCCCUGAUGUUAGCGGCGCACGG
rnacentral:rRNA from 1 species